rnacentral:rRNA from 1 species
UACGGAGGGUGCAAGCGUUAUCCGGAUUCACUGGGUUUAAAGGGUGCGUAGGCGGGCAGGUAAGUCAGUGGUGAAAUCUCCGGGCUUAACCCGGAAACUGCCGUUGAUACUAUCUGUCUUGAAUAUAGUGGAGGUGAGCGGAAUAUGUCAUGUAGCGGUGAAAUGCUUAGAUAUGACAUAGAACACCCAUUGCGAAGGCAGCUCGCUACACUAUCAUUGACGCUGAGGCACGAAAGCGUGGGGAUCAAACAGG